UACAGAGGGUGCAAGCGUUGUUCGGAAUUACUGGGCGUAAAGGGCUCGUAGGCGGCCAACUAAGUCAGACGUGAAAUCCCUCGGCUUAACCGGGGAACUGCGUCUGAUACUGGAUGGCUUGAGUUUGGGAGAGGGAUGCGGAAUUCCAGGUGUAGCGGUGAAAUGCGUAGAUAUCAGGAGGAACACCGGUGGCGAAGGCGCACAUCUGGCCCGAUACUGACGCUGAGGCGCGAAAGCUAGGGGAGCAAACGGG
rnacentral:rRNA from 1 species